rnacentral:snRNA from 1 species
UUGGAACAAUACAGAGAAGAUUAGCAUGGCCCCUGCACAAGGGUGACACAGAAAUCUGUGAAGCGUUUCAUAUUUUU